UGGGUGUUUUCUGUUCCAGGAAGCAGGACUGCCAAGGGGUGGCCUUAAGGGGAAACAAUAGAAUCAGUUUGGUGGUGGGUGUUUUAUAGAAACAGUGUUGUGAAUUGAGUACCUUCUCUGUGCCAGACACUGGCCUGGAUAUUGGAAAUUCAGAGAUGACUCUCUCACCAUCCUUUCUCAAGGAUCUUACUACCCAGGAGGAGAAGAAUGACAGCUUUUCUCUCAUGGCUUUAACCUUGUUAGCUGUCCAUUAAUUUAUGGGAUUCAACUCGGUGGAAUGGCAGAUAGCUCCUCAGCCAGCCGUGACUGCAGGAGCUCGCCUCUGUGGGGCCCACGGGAGGCCUGCAGCCAGGCGCGCCUGAUCCGAUGAUCCCGGCCGAGGCGGUGACCGCAAACACUGAUGUGUGUGCACAGACAUGAUCUGAGAGUUUUAAGUUAAAAAAAAAAUUAAAAAUUUACAAAACCAUACAAUUAUUUGGCCGAGCUAUCCUGUCCCCCAUCUAAUACAAUAAAUUAAAAUGUUUACA